GGGUUGUGAGGUUAAGCGACUAAGCGUACACGGUGGAUGCCCUGGCAGUCAGAGGCGAUGAAGGACGUGCUAAUCUGCGAUAAGCGCCGGUAAGGUGAUAUGAACCGUUAUAACCGGCGAUUUCCGAAUGGGGAAACCCAGUGUGACUCGUCACACUAUCAUUAACUGAAUCCAUAGGUUAAUGAGGCGAACCGGGGGAACUGAAACAUCUAAGUACCCCGAGGAAAAGAAAUCAACCGAGAUUCCCCCAGUAGCGGCGAGCGAACGGGGAGGAGCCCAGAGCCUGAAUCAGCAUGUGUGUUAGUGGAAGCGUCUGGAAAGGCGCGCGAUACAGGGUGACAGCCCCGUACACAAAAGCGCAUGUGCUGUGAGCUCGAUGAGUAGGGCGGGACACGUGGUAUCCUGUCUGAAUAUGGGGGGACCAUCCUCCAAGGCUAAAUACUCCUGACUGACCGAUAGUGAACCAGUACCGUGAGGGAAAGGCGAAAAGAACCCCGGCGAGGGGAGUGAAAAAGAACCUGAAACCGUGUACGUACAAGCAGUGGGAGCCCCACCACUAAGCCAGUGGUGAACUCCACAUACGCAUCCUUUGCUGAGGAUACGGUUAACGGAGCGAAAGCGACGUUCAACCGCAAAAAAAGAAGCAGAGGGGGCUUAGUGGUGGGGUGACUGCGUACCUUUUGUAUAAUGGGUCAGCGACUUAUAUUCUGUAGCAAGGUUAACCGAAUAGGGGAGCCGGAGGGAAACCGAGUCUUAAUUGGGCGUUAAGUUGCAGGGUAUAGACCCGAAACCCGGUGAUCUAGCCAUGGGCAGGUUGAAGGUUGGGUAACACUAACUGGAGGACCGAACCGACUAAUGUUGAAAAAUUAGCGGAUGACCUGUGGCUGGGGGUGAAAGGCCAAUCAAACCGGGAGAUAGCUGGUUCUCCCCGAAAGCUAUUUAGGUAGCGCCUCGUGAAUUCAUCUCCGGGGGUAGAGCACUGUUUCGGCUAGGGGGCCAUCCCGGCUUACCAACCCGAUGCAAACUGCGAAUACCGGAGAAUGUUAUCACGGGAGACACACGGCGGGUGCUAACGUCCGUCGUGAAGAGGGAAACAACCCAGACCGCCAGCUAAGGUCCCAAAGUCAUGGUUAAGUGGGAAACGAUGUGGGAAGGCCCAGACAGCCAGGAUGUUGGCUUAGAAGCAGCCAUCAUUUAAAGAAAGCGUAAUAGCUCACUGGUCGAGUCGGCCUGCGCGGAAGAUGUAACGGGGCUAAACCAUGCACCGAAGCUGCGGCAGCGACGCUGAUGCGUUGUUGGGUAGGGGAGCGUUCUGUAAGCCUGCGAAGGUGUGUCGUGAGGCAUGCUGGAGGUAUCAGAAGUGCGAAUGCUGACAUAAGUAACGAUAAAGCGGGUGAAAAGCCCGCUCGCCGGAAGACCAAGGGUUCCUGUCCAACGUUAAUCGGGGCAGGGUGAGUCGACCCCUAAGGCGAGGCCGAAAGGCGUAGUCGAUGGGAAACGGGUUAAUAUUCCCGUACUUGGUGUUACUGCGAAGGGGGGACGGAGAAGGCUAUGUUGGCCGGGCGACGGUUGUCCCGGUUUAAGCGUGUAGGUGUGUGUUCCAGGUAAAUCCGGUUCACUUUAACACUGAGGCGUGAUGACGAGGCACUACGGUGCUGAAGCAACAAAUGCCCUGCUUCCAGGAAAAGCCUCUAAGCAUCAGGUAACAUCAAAUCGUACCCCAAACCGACACAGGUGGUCAGGUAGAGAAUACCAAGGCGCUUGAGAGAACUCGGGUGAAGGAACUAGGCAAAAUGGUGCCGUAACUUCGGGAGAAGGCACGCUGACACGUAGGUGAAGUGAUUUACUCAUGGAGCUGAAGUCAGUCGAAGAUACCAGCUGGCUGCAACUGUUUAUUAAAAACACAGCACUGUGCAAACACGAAAGUGGACGUAUACGGUGUGACGCCUGCCCGGUGCCGGAAGGUUAAUUGAUGGGGUCAGCGCAAGCGAAGCUCCUGAUCGAAGCCCCGGUAAACGGCGGCCGUAACUAUAACGGUCCUAAGGUAGCGAAAUUCCUUGUCGGGUAAGUUCCGACCUGCACGAAUGGCGUAAUGAUGGCCAGGCUGUCUCCACCCGAGACUCAGUGAAAUUGAACUCGCUGUGAAGAUGCAGUGUACCCGCGGCAAGACGGAAAGACCCCGUGAACCUUUACUAUAGCUUGACACUGAACAUUGAGCCUUGAUGUGUAGGAUAGGUGGGAGGCUUUGAAGUGUGGACGCCAGUCUGCAUGGAGCCGGCCUUGAAAUACCACCCUUUAAUGUUUGAUGUUCUAACGUGGACCCGUGAUCCGGGUUGCGGACAGUGUCUGGUGGGUAGUUUGACUGGGGCGGUCUCCUCCUAAAGAGUAACGGAGGAGCACGAAGGUUGGCUAAUCCUGGUCGGACAUCAGGAGGUUAGUGCAAUGGCAUAAGCCAGCUUGACUGCGAGCGUGACGGCGCGAGCAGGUGCGAAAGCAGGUCAUAGUGAUCCGGUGGUUCUGAAUGGAAGGGCCAUCGCUCAACGGAUAAAAGGUACUCCGGGGAUAACAGGCUGAUACCGCCCAAGAGUUCAUAUCGACGGCGGUGUUUGGCACCUCGAUGUCGGCUCAUCACAUCCUGGGGCUGAAGUAGGUCCCAAGGGUAUGGCUGUUCGCCAUUUAAAGUGGUACGCGAGCUGGGUUUAGAACGUCGUGAGACAGUUCGGUCCCUAUCUGCCGUGGGCGCUGGAGAACUGAGGGGGGCUGCUCCUAGUACGAGAGGACCGGAGUGGACGCAUCACUGGUGUUCGGGUUGUCAUGCCAAUGGCACUGCCCGGUAGCUAAAUGCGGAAGAGAUAAGUGCUGAAAGCAUCUAAGCACGAAACUUGCCCCGAGAUGAGUUCUCCCUGAGACUUAGAGUCUCCUGAAGGAACGUUGAAGACGACGACGUUGAUAGGCCGGGUGUGUAAGCGCAGCGAUGCGUUGAGCUAACCGGUACUAAUGAACCGUGAGGCUUAACCUUACAACGCCGAAG
rnacentral:rRNA from 2 species